rnacentral:rRNA from 1 species
AUGAGCAGUCAUAGGCUCUUGCUGCUGCUGGUGGCGUUCACGGCACUGCUUGCGUUGACAACGGCGGCGGAGUACAAUGUGGUUGACUACGGCGCAAGGCCUGAUGGCGGGACGGACUCGGCGGGGGCGUUCCUGGCCGCGUGGGGUGCAGCGUGCAAUGACACAGGGCGCUCCGGCUCCCGGCCGGUGCUGCGCGUGCCGGCGGGCAGGUUCCUGCUUAGCCAGGCCUAUUUCAAGGGGCCCUGCCGGAGCGCCGGCGUGGUCGUGGCCAUUGACAACAACGGCACGGUCUUCGCGCCGCCGGCACUAGACAGCAAGGCGUGGAUCAUGUUCCACCACGCCGAUGGCCUGGCGAUCCGCGGCGGGACGCUAGACGGGCAGGGGCAGGAGUAUUGGGCGUGUAAGAAGGUCGGCAAUUGCACGGGUCAAGGCCCCAGGACGCUCGACAUUAGCCAGUCCAAGGGCGUGAGUGUGAAGCAGCUGACGCUGCUCAACAGCAAGGUAUUCCACAUGGCCAUCUUCGACUGCACCGGCGUGACGGUCCAAGGCAUCCAGAUCAUCGCGCCGGCCAACAGCCCCAACACCGAUGGCAUCCACGUCAGCCACUCCCGCCACGUGAGCAUCCUCAACACCACCAUCGGCACCGGGGACGAUUGCGUCUCCUUAGGGCCCGGCACCUCCAACGUGCUCAUAAGGGACAUCGAGUGCGGUCCGGGCCACGGCAUCAGCAUCGGGAGCCUGGGAUGGCAGGACGGUGAGGAGGGGGUGAGGAACGUGACGGUGGACAGGGCGGUGCUCACGGGCACGACCAACGGCCUGCGGAUCAAGACGUGGGCGAUGCCCAACUCCGGCUCCGUCACAAACGUCUCCUUCUCACGGGUCACAAUGAACCGCGUGGCCAACCCCAUCCUCGUCGACCAGAACUACUGCCCCCGCAAGGUCGACUGCCCAGGCAAUAGCUCGGGGGUGCAGAUCAGCAACAUAUCAUACACGGACAUCGAGGGCACAUCGGCGACGCCCGUUGCAGUGAAGUUCAACUGCAGCAGCACCAACCCCUGCAGCGGGAUCAAGCUCACGAACAUUAGGCUGGCGUACAAGCACAAGCGGCCGGCGCAGGCCAAGUGCGGAAAUGCCGGCGGGUCCACGUCCGGAGAGGUCAGACCGCCGAGCUGCUUCUGA